GCUGGAAAAAAAUCCCACAGUUACUUCAGUGUCCCAUGCCAGAGCAAACUAUAGCUCUGAACCAUUGCCUGGCCUCUACCUAUAGGCUGCUGGCACUGAAGUGAGUUUCACAGUG
rnacentral:snoRNA from 1 species